CCUACGGGUGGCAGCAGUGGGGAAUAUUGGACAAUGGGCGAAAGCCUGAUCCAGCCAUGCCGCGUGUGUGAAGAAGGCCUUCGGGUUGUAAAGCACUUUCAGUGGGGAAGAAAGCCUUGGGGCUAAUACCCUCGAGGAAGGACAUCACCCACAGAAGAAGCACCGGCUAACUCCGUGCCAACAGCCGCGGUAAUACGGAGGGUGCGAGCGUUAAUCGGAAUUACUGGGCGUAAAGCGCGCGUAGGCGGUCUGAUAAGCCGGUUGUGAAAGCCCCGGGCUCAACCUGGGAACGGCAUCCGGAACUGUCAGGCUAGAGUGCAGGAGAGGAAGGUAGAAUUCCCGGUGUAGCGGUGAAAUGCGUAGAGAUCGGGAGGAAUACCAGUGGCGAAGGCGGCCUUCUGGACUGACACUGACGCUGAGGUGCGAAAGCGUGGGUAGCAAACAGGAUUAGAUACCCUUGUAGUC
rnacentral:rRNA from 1 species